UCUAGCCUUGGACAAGUUGAAGAUUUUGUGGGAUUAAUGACAAGGGAUGGUGCCACUUCACACCAGUUUUGCUUGGAUCCCACCUCUUUCAUCAUCUCUAAAACUUGAGGGAAACAAAUUUAGAACAUUGGGUGUUCUUAAAAAAGAGGGAUU